rnacentral:rRNA from 1 species
UACGUAGGGUGCGAGCGUUAAUCGGAAUUACUGGGCGUAAAGCGUGCGCAGGCGGUUUUGUAAGACAGAUGUGAAAUCCCCGGGCUCAACCUGGGAAUGGCAUUUGGGACUGCAAGGCUUGAGUGCGGCAGAGGAGACUGGAAUUCCUGGUGUAGCAGUGAAAUGCGUAGAUAUCAGGAGGAAUACCGAUGGCGAAGGCAGGUCUCUGGGCUGACACUGACGCUCAUGCACGAAAGCGUGGGGAGCAAACAGG